rnacentral:rRNA from 1 species
CCCGCGUGAAGGACGACGGCCCUAUGGGUUGUAAACUUUUUUUGUAUAGGGAUAAACCUAGAUACGUGUAUCUAGCUGAAGGUACUAUACGAAUAAGCACCGGCUAACUCCGUGCCACCAGCCGCGGUAAUACGGAGGGUGCAAGCGUUAUCCGGAUUUAUUGGGUUUAAAGGGUCCGUAGGCGGAUGUGUAAGUCAGUGGUGAAAUCUCACAGCUUAACUGUGAAACUGCCAUUGAUACUGCAUGUCUUGAGUGUUGUUGAAGUAGCUGGAAUAAGUAGUGUAGCGGUGAAAUGCAUAGAUAUUACUUAGAAACACCAAUUGCGAAGGCAGGUUACUAAGCAACAACUGACGCUGAUGGACGAAAGCGUGGGGAGCGAACAGGAUUAGAUACCCUGGUAGUCCACGCCGUAAACGAUGCUAACUCGUUUUUGGGGCGUAAGCUUCAGAGACUAAGCGAAAGUGAUAAGUUAGCCACCUGGGGAGUACGAACGCAAGUUUGAAACUCAAAGGAAUUGACGGGGGCCCGCACAAGCGGUGGAUUAUGUGGUUUAAUUCGAUGAUACGCGAGGAACCUUACCAAGGCUUAAAUGGGAAAUGACAGGUUUAGAAAUAGACUUUUCUUCGGACAUUUUUCAAGGUGCUGCAUGGUUGUCGUCAGCUCGUGCCGUGAGGUGUUAGGUUAAGUCCUGCAACGAGCGCAACCCCUGUCACUAGUUGCCAUCAUUAAGUUGGGGACUCUAGUGAGACUGCCUACGCAAGUAGAGAGGAAGGUGGGGAUGACGUCAAAUCAUCACGGCCCUUACGCCUUGGGCCACACACGUAAUACAAUGGCCGGUACAGAGGGCAGCUACACAGUGAUGUGAUGCAAAUCUCGAAAGCCGGUCUCAGUUCGGAUUGGAGUCUGCAACUCGACUCUAUGAAGCUGGAAUCGCUAGUAAUCGCGCAUCAGCCAUGGCGCGGUGAAUACGUUCCCGGGCCUUGUACAC